CACGUAGGGCGCGAGCGUUGUCCGGAAUUAUUGGGCGUAAAGAGCUCGUAGGCGGCCUGUUGCGUCCGCUGUGAAAGCCCGGGGCUUAACCCCGGGUCGGCAGUGGAUACGGGCAGGCUAGAGGUAGGUAGGGGAGAAUGGAAUUCCCGGUGUAGCGGUGAAAUGCGCAGAUAUCGGGAGGAACACCAGCGGCGAAGGCGGCAUCCUGGACUGGUCCUGACACUCAGGAGCGAAAGCGUGGGGAGCGAUCCGG
rnacentral:rRNA from 1 species